CUGUGACCCUAUCUGUGGCCCUAAAGUAAAUUGCUUGAGGAAAUUGGGUCCCAACAAUUACAGGUGGGGAAUUUCUGAAGUAUGACCACAUUCAAGUGGAGGUCAAAGGAGCUCAACUAAAAGAGUUGUGGACUGACUGACAUAAAAACUGGAUUGAGCAAAAAU